rnacentral:rRNA from 1 species
UACGUAGGGCGCAAGCGUUAUCCGGAAUUAUUGGGCGUAAAGAGCUCGUAGGCGGUUUGUCGCGUCUGCCGUGAAAGUCCGGGCUCAACUCCGGAUCUGCGGUGGGUACGGGCAGACUAGAGUGAUGUAGGGGAGACUGGAAUUCCUGGUGUAGCGGUGAAAUGCGCAGAUAUCAGGAGGAACACCGAUGGCGAAGGCAGGUCUCUGGGCAUUAACUGACGCUGAGACACGGAAGCGUGGGUAGCAAACAGG